GACGAACGCUGGCGGCGUGCUUAACACAUGCAAGUCGAGCGAUGAAGCUUCCUUCGGGAAGUGGAUUAGCGGCGGACGGGUGAGUAACACGUGGGCAACCUGCCUCAAAGAGGGGAAUAGCCCUCCGAAAGGAGGAUUAAUACCGCAUAAAGUUAGAGUUUCGCAUGAAACUUUAACCAAAGGAGUAAUCUGCUUUGAGAUGGGCCCGCGUCCCAUUAGCUAGUUGGUAAGGUAAUGGCUUACCAAGGCAACGAUGGGUAGCCGACCUGAGAGGGUGAUCGGCCACAUUGGAACUGAGACACGGUCCAGACUCCUACGGGAGGCAGCAGUGGGGAAUAUUGCGCAAUGGGGGAAACCCUGACGCAGCAACGCCGCGUGGGUGAUGAAGGUUUUCGGAUCGUAAAACCCUGUUUUCUGGGACGAUAAUGACGGUACCAGAUGAGGAAGCCACGGCUAACUACGUGCCAGCAGCCGCGGUAAUACGUAGGUGGCAAGCGUUGUCCGGAUUUACUGGGCGUAAAGGGUGCGUAGGCGGAUGCUUAAGUGAGAUGUGAAAUACCUAGGCUUAACUUAGGGGCUGCAUUUCAAACUGGGCAUCUAGAGUACAGGAGAGGGAAACGGAAUUCCUAGUGUAGCGGUGAAAUGCGUAGAGAUUAGGAAGAACACCAGUGGCGAAGGCGGUUUCCUGGACUGUAACUGACGCUGAGGCACGAAAGCGUGGGUAGCAAACAGGAUUAGAUACCCUGGUAGUCCACGCCGUAAACGAUGAAUACUAGGUGUAGGAGGGUCCAACCUUCUGUGCCGCAGUUAACACAUUAAGUAUUCCGCCUGGGGAGUACGGUCGCAAGACUAA
rnacentral:rRNA from 1 species